GUAGGGAAUCUUCGGCAAUGGACGAAAGUCUGACCGAGCAACGCCGCGUGAGUGAAGAAGGUUUUCGGAUCGUAAAACUCUGUUGUUAGAGAAGAAUGUUGAUUAGAGUGGAAAAUUAAUCAAGUGACGGUAUCUAACCAGAAAGGGACGGCUAACUACGUGCCAGCAGCCGCGGUAAUACGUAGGUCCCGAGCGUUGUCCGGAUUUCUUGGGCGUAAAGCGAGCGCAGGUGGUUUAAUAAGUCUGAUGUAAAAGGCAGUGGCUCAACCAUUGUGUGCAUUGGAAACUGUGAGACUUGAGUGCAGUAGAGGAGAGUGGAAUUCCAUGUGUAGCGGGGAAAUGCGUAGAUAUAUGGAGGAACACCGGUGGCGAAAGCGGCUCUCUGGACUGUCACUGACACUGAGGCUCGAAAGCGUGGGUAGCAAACAGGAUUAGAUACCCGAGUAGUCC
rnacentral:rRNA from 1 species